UAAAUAAGUAAGAGUUUGUGGUGGAUGCCUUGGGUCUGGAAGUCGAUGAAGGACGUGAUUACCUGCGAUAAGCCUCGUGGAGCUGGAUAUGAGC
rnacentral:rRNA from 1 species